rnacentral:rRNA from 1 species
AGAUCGACUAUGUUGAAUAAAUUCUAGGUAGAAUUAUGAUAAUGACAUUGUCUGCCUAUGUGUCUUGACCAAAUUACGUGCCAGCAGUCGCGGUAAUACGUAGAAGACUAGUGUUAUUCAUGUUUAAUCGGUUUAAAGGGUACCUAGACGGUAGAUCAAGCUUUCUAAUAAAUGAAAAGGACUAAUUUACUAGAGUUACUUAUGAGGGGGUAUUAAAGUACUGCUGGUGUAGAGAUGAAAUUCUGUCAUACCUCUUUUCAAAAGAAAAACCAUGGCACAGGUAUAGGCGAAGGCAUCCCCUUAUGUGAUAACUGACGUUGAGGGACGAAGGCUUUGUGUAGCGAACAGGAUUAGAUACCCCAGUAGUCGAAGCAGAAAAUGAUGAAUGUCAUAGAUUAGAUGUAUAAGUUUAUUCUAUAAAUGAAAGUGUAAGCAUUCCACCUCAUGAGUAAUUUGGCAACAUUGGAACUGAAAUCAUUAGACCGUUUCUGAAACCAGUAGUGAAGUAUGUUGUUUAAUUUGAUGAUCCGCAAAAAACCUUACCACAAUUUGAAUAUUUAUAUUUUUUUUAUUGUUUUUUUCUUAAGAGAUAAAUAAUUAAAGAAAAAAAUCAAAAAAGGAAGAAAAUUAAGAAAGAGGCAAUAAGAUAUAUUUACAAGCGUUGCACGGCUGUCUUCAGUUAAUGUCGCGAGACUUUGGUUAGUUCCAUUAAAUUAACGUAAACCCUUACUUUAUUUUUAUAUAGAGUAGUUCCCCGCUAUAUUGGAUAUGAUAACAGG